rnacentral:lncRNA from 1 species
GAGGAUGAGAAUAGACGACCAACUCUCUAAAAAAACCGUCGUUAAAAAGGAAAAAUAUGACACAUAUUAAGAGAACAAGGCCGCAAGAUAGACAUACAACGACGGAAAUAAAACAACGACGCCGUUAAAUAUCAUUUUCACGACAAUAAAAAAUUUGACGUCUUUAAAUACAUUAGAAGACGACGUUAUUGAUGCCUACUACGUCGCAUAUAUAAAAACAGCCGUC